CUUUUCAUUUUUUGACUUAUCCUUAUGCCAAGCGUUGGACUGCCAUUGGUUGCUCAAAACUUUUUUUUUUAAAAAUAAAUAGAAACAUGCUAAGUAAACCAACAUGGGGCACCAUCCCCUUUGAACAAACUCGUCUUUUACUUUUUAUGUUAUUUGUAUUUUUACCUAUUAUUAUUAUUAUUAUUGUGAUUUUCUCAUAAUUAGAUUUAA
rnacentral:lncRNA from 1 species